AACACAGUAUGUGCUGCAAACGUAGUAUCUCAAUCAAGAUGUCGUAAAACUAAGGAAAAGUACUGAGAUUAAGGAUACAUAAAUUGCAAGACAGCCGGUAUAAAUAGACCGCUGUGAAUUUUUUAGACCACAUAUCUAGUUCUGGAGUAGAGCAUUUGGUUUUUCACCGGUGAAUUUAGUUCUGCCUUCGAAAUCAGAAAACCAUACACAAUGAUAUUUCCGUGCUUCUCAACUAUUGUGCAUUUUUAUGGUAAUAUGCGGUGUUUGCAGUACCCUUGCUGCGCUUAUUGACUUCGAUUCAGAGACGAGAUCUGAAAUCCUGGCACGUCGCUCUGAGCCUGCAGGAUGUAGCACAUGUGGUUGCCCCGAUCGUAAGGCCGGUAAAUGCCCUAGCUGCCCGGUUGGAUGUUGCUAUUAUAGCUGCACAGGCCCGGACUGGCCAUAAGGCCGAUCUGCCAUUGGCGGAUACGCCUCCUUGGCGCGGCGAAAAUGCGCCCCCCUGACAGAUGGCAGAAUAAGAAGAUAACAAAAAUUACCACCGAGAAAAUAUGAGGACAAUUUCUUCACAUAAUAUAAACAAACACAAUUCCCUGGAUGCGUUUCGACGACGGCACAGAGAUACAACUAAUCGUGCUUUGUGGACGUCCGUGCUGCAUCCGAAAAAUUGAAGGCGCGAUGACGCGAGGCGUGAACUCGGCUACGCGCUGUCUUUAGGCUGUCUCUACAAGGCUUUAACGUCGUUAAAGGGUCCUUAUGGUAUACAUUAUUAGGGAUCAAGGGUUUAAACACGUUUCAUAUAAAUAACAUAUAAUGUUAGGAGGACAGAAAUUUCAAGGAACUUCAAGUAAAAUUCAACCAAGCAACUAUUCUAGGAUAAAUAAUUAGGUAUAGGAUUGCAAUAAUUUGAACUUAUACUCUUAAAAGUACGAGAUAAUCGAGAAAAUAUUAAUUUCAUGACAAUUUUUAAAAUGUUCAAAAGGCCACCCAAAAAUCGGCCAAACUCAAAAUCAUUCUCUGGUAAUUUUGAAUUUUUCCCUCCAUACAAAGAUGGCUUUCUUUUCCAACAUUUUGAUACGGACCCCCUGAGCCUUAAUUCAUUAAAAUGUAAGUUAAAUAAGGCACAUGCCCGAACAAAAAUCAACCAAUAAGGGUGACUAUGUAAGCGGCAUUGCGCAUUUACGGAAUUUAAGUUUGAUUAAUCAAAGCACAACUUGAUACAUGCGAUUCACUAAAUUCACGCCGGUACCCUUGUUUAUACACAGUUUCGACCGUGCCAAAAAUUACGUUCGGAUAUUUCCUCUUUUCUAAGAUACUUUUUUUUGUUUCCAUAUUCUUAAAGAAUGUUUCAUCCAAAAAUCGGU